rnacentral:rRNA from 1 species
UACAGAGGGGGCAAGCGUUGUUCGGAAUUACUGGGCGUAAAGGGCGCGUAGGCGGCCUGCUAAGUCGAACGUGAAAUCCCUCGGCUUAACCGGGGAACUGCGUCUGAUACUGGAUGGCUUGAGUUCGGGAGAGGGAUGCGGAAUUCCAGGUGUAGCGGUGAAAUGCGUAGAUAUCUGGAGGAACACCGGUGGCGAAGGCGGCAUCCUGGACCGACACUGACGCUGAGGAGCGAAAGCCAGGGGAGCAAACGGG